AGCUCCAAUAGCGUAUAUUAAAGUUGUUGCAGUUAAAAAGCUCGUAGUUGGAUUUAUGGUAGUUACGCCCCUGACCCGCCUCUUUAGAGGUGCGCGUCGGCGUGGCGUCUACCAUCUUGUCAGGGAUCAAAUAUGCUCUUCACUGGGUGUGUUUGCUAUCUGGCUCUUUUACUUUGAAAAAAUUAGAGUGUUUAAAGCAGGCGUCUGCCUUGAAUACAUUAGCAUGGAAUAAUAACUUAGGACUUCGGUUCUAUUUUGUUGGUUUUCAGGACGAAGUAAUGAUUGAUAGGGAUAGUUGGGGGUGCUAGUAUUGACCGGCCAGAGGUGAAAUUCUUGGAUUCGGUCAAGACUAACUUAUGCGAAAGCAUUCACCAAGGAUGUCUUCUUUAAUCAAGAACGA
rnacentral:rRNA from 1 species